rnacentral:rRNA from 1 species
GUGUCAGCAGCCGCGGUAAUACGUAGGUGGCGAGCGUUGUCCGGAAUUACUGGGUGUAAAGGGCGUGUAGGCGGGGAAGCAAGUCAGAUGUGAAAUCCCAUGGCUUAACUGUGGGGCUGCAUCUGAAACUGCAUCUCUUGAGUACUGGAGAGGAAAGCGGAAUUCCUAGUGUAGCGGUGAAAUGCGUAGAUAUUAGGAGGAACACCAGUGGCGAAGGCGGCUUUCUGGACAGAAACUGACGCUGAGGCGCGAAAGCGUGGGGAGCAAACAGGAUUAGAUACCCUGGUAGUCCACGCUGUAAACGAUGGAUACUAGGUGUAGGAGGUAUCGACCCCUUCUGUGCCGCAGUUAACACAAUAAGUAUCCCACCUGGGGAGUACGGCCGCAAGGUUGAA